CUAGAAGGCCUGAGCCCUCCCUGUCUUCCCCUCAGGCUCCUCAGGGACUCCAGGCUCCUGACCUAGGGACUGGGGAGAGCCCCAGGCAAGCUCCUGUGUCCAGCUCCCCACUUCAGCCCCCCCCCCCAGACCCAAAGGCAGUGUGUGAUGGCCUUUUUUGUUCCUUUUUAAAAGCUACAUCUCCUUUUUUUUUUUUUUCUUCCUGAUAAGAGCAGCUCGUGCCACUGCAAAUACAUUGGAAAAUUUCAAAAAGGAUUCAGAAAGCAAAAUUGCCUGGAACCCCAAGGCCCAGAGAUAACUGCAUUUUAAAUUAGAAUUGAAUGGCUUUUCUUUCCCUUUGCAUCCCAGCAAGCUCCACGUCACCAAGCAGUCUGGAGAAAACCCCUCACAAUGUUCAGCCACUUGUCACCUCGGGAGGAGCAGGAGCUGGAACUUGACUGUUCAGACUCAGGGCUCCUGGGAGGUGUGAGAGAGUGCUGCAGUGACUCCUCACCCUUGGAGAGACAGUUAAUCAGGAG
ensembl:lncRNA